rnacentral:rRNA from 1 species
UGGGAAUAUUGGACAAUGGGAGAAAUCCUGAUCCAGCAAUCCCGCGUGAGUGAUGAAGGCCUUCGGGUCGUAAAGCUCUUUUAAUGGGGAAGAAGGGAAACUUGACGGUACCCAUAGAAAAAGCACCGGCUAACUCUGUGCCAGCAGCCGCGGUAAUACAGAGGGUGCAAGCGUUGUUCGGAAUUAUUGGGCGUAAAGCGCGUGUAGGUGGCUUACUAAGUCUGGUGUGAAAGCCCGGGGCUCAACCCCGGAAGUGCACUGGAUACUGGAAAGCUAGAGGGCGAGAGAGGAGAUUGGAAUUCAUGGUGUAGGGGUGAAAUCCGUAGAUAUCAUGAGGAACAUCUGUGGCGAAGGCGAAUCUCUGGCUCGUUUCUGACACUGAGACGCGAAAGCGUGGGGAGCAAAC